rnacentral:rRNA from 1 species
UAGGGAAUCUUCCACAAUGGGCGAAAGCCUGAUGGAGCAACGCCGCGUGUGUGAUGAAGGGUUUCGGCUCGUAAAACACUGUUGUAAGAGAAGAAUGACAUUGAGAGUAACUGUUCAAUGUGUGACGGUAUCUUGCCAGAAAGGAACGGCUAAAUACGUGCCAA